CGCGCAUGCGCCGCGUCUGAGCGUUGCGCGCAUACUUCACGCGUCUCGUCCCGAGUCGCGAGUCUCGACAGCGAAAAACGCGCGAUCCUGCGGUUCUACGAGUGAAAGAUUUGGUCAGAAAAUAUUAUUGUGCUGUGUGUUUGUCGAGUCUAUUCGUUUCUCAUCGAUCAACACAGUGUGUAUACUACAACUUCGUUGCUGCGCAUCGUACCGACUUACCGGAUAGUGCAAGGAUCGUCAAGGUCACGAGGACCCUGGCCAUCGAGGCUGCCAUGAUCAUCGACUGGUCUCGCAACCCCCGCAAAUAAAAUCAAGGGUACGAAUACGAAGAUCAAGGCGUGAAGCUUUCCUUCAGGAUUCUAUGCACCUGGACCUAUCGUCGUCGAUUUGAAACGAGCCGUGGUGCCUGCUAAUGUCCGCCAUUUUGGAUCACAAGCCUACAGUGAGCUGCCGGACCUCAGAAGAGCUGGACUUCACGAACACAGUAUGCGAAUCCUGCGGAAGAACGCACCAUGGAGAGAGGAUCGUUCGCUUUCCUCAGCAACGUCACCGUCUUGUCCCGAGGACUGCGAAGUCCCAGUGCGCGAAAACGGUGAACCUUCAGUUUGCACCAUCCGAGGUUCACUUCACGGUCGUUCACACGGCACUGGCUGAGGCUGAGGACGGUCAUACACACACGGUCUCUCCCACUUUAGCUAUGCCAUAGCUACGCCAUGGUGCACUGUACACUGGUGCCGAGCAUGUACGUCACGACUUGGUGGCUGGCUCUUCCACCAUGAUCGGCUGUCUCUUUCUACCGUUCGUGCUCUACAGAAUAAUCUUUCCCCACUCCCCUAUGAAUUUUUCUCUCUUUCUCCUGGUAUAUUCUGCGGCGAACCGUGUCUGUACCUGCGCGACUGAAUACCAUACAGGUUCCUUCUAUAUAGCCCGUGUUCUCAUCAGUUUUCUAAAUCGAGGCAGGUAAGUUUUCGGCGACGACAGGGAAGAAGAAAUGCAGAGUCCAGCCGGAACUGAACUUUCAACUCGUGUUCUUGACAUUUUUUUGAACUCGAAUGACAUUUAUAUCAUUUUUCUCUUUAGGGCUCCUAAAUAUACACAAGAUUAUCAGAAUCUUAUCGCAAAAGGACGACUUGAUAAUUUUUCGACGGAAGUUAGAAUAUCAAGGAAAACCUUUUUCUUUUUUUCUCAAGAUAAAUUGUAAGUUAUUUAGAAAAUUAUAAGUGUUUCACAAUAGAAGAUAAAGACAAUUGUUAUCAAAAAAUUGAUAAAGUACAUUUGAGUAGUUAUUUUGAAUAAAACUGGAAGAGAUAAUUA